rnacentral:misc_RNA from 1 species
ACUGCCCUCAAGCACGGCUUGUGUGUUGGGCCCCGUCCUCCGAUCCCGGGGGACGGGCCCGAAAGGCAGCGGCGGCACCGCGUCCGGUCCUCGAGCGUAUGGGGCUUUGUCACCCGCUCUGUAGGCCCGGCCGGCGCUUGCCGAUCAACCCAAACUUCUAUAG